AUGGCCGCAACCACCAUGUCACUCUCCUCCCCAGCCUUCGCCGGCAAGGCAGUGAAGAGCUUACCAUCGCCAUCUCUUUUCGGGGAGGCUCGCGUUACCAUGCGCAAGACUGCAGCAAAGGUCAAGCAGGUUGCCUCCGGCAGCCCGUGGUACGGCUCUGACCGCGUGCUCUAUCUUGGCCCGCUUUCUGGUGAGCCCCCGAGCUACCUGACCGGUGAGUUCCCCGGCGACUACGGGUGGGACACCGCUGGUCUGUCGGCUGACCCCGAGACCUUCGCCAAGAACCGCGAGCUGGAGGUGAUCCACUGCCGUUGGGCCAUGCUUGGCGCGCUCGGUUGCGUCUUCCCCGAGCUGCUCGCCCGCAACGGUGUGAAGUUCGGCGAGGCUGUUUGGUUCAAGGCUGGAUCCCAGAUCUUCAGCGAGGGCGGCCUCGACUACCUCGGCAACCCAAGCCUUGUGCACGCACAAAGUAUCCUUGCCAUCUGGGCUUGUCAGGUCGUGCUCAUGGGCGCCGUUGACGGCAAGGGUCCACUAGAGAACCUCGCUGACCACCUCUCCGACCCCGUCAACAACAACGCAUGGGCAUUCGCCACCAACUUUGUUCCCGGCAAGUAA
rnacentral:rRNA from 1 species